rnacentral:tRNA from 1 species
GGUUCAUUAGCUCAGUUGGUAGAGCACCUGACUUUUAAUCAGGGUGUCCCGCGUUCGAGCCGCGGAUGAGCCACCA